AAAGAUAAUAUGGAUAACAAGAAGAUAAGGAAAAUUGUUUAUUCGUGAAUAUGUAAAUAUGAGCACUUACCGUGAAGGAAUGUAUUUGCUAGAUGAACUUAGAACCUGUUCAUAUAAAAAUAUAUAAAACCGUAAAUUUUAUGCAAUCUACCCCUAUUUAUUCUCUCUGAGGUCUCUGGGGUAGCAUAUCAAAAUGUUCCACGUUGUUGAGCUAACAUUAAAGGAAUCGACGGAACACGUCGAACACUAAAUGGCCAGUCAUUAGCCGCCGUGAGAGAUUGCUCUAAUAAUGCUGGAAUUUUUCACACUAAGAUUGCACCAGUUUUUAGUGCUCACCCAGAGUAAUAUUGAGGAUAUUAAUCUUUGGCUUCAAAGAACUGAGAGCUGUUUCAAAUCGAUAAAUAAGUUUCAGGUUUCAACGAUUAUAUAUGUUGCACCACGUUCUUUAGUUGUUGAAUAAAAAUAGAAGGUAAUUGAAAAUAUAAACUUAAGCCAAGUUAAAGUCGUGAACAAUAUUCAAAGCAGCUGCAGGCGUAUAGGAAAAUAGAAUAAAACGAUGACUGAAAAAGGAUAGUAUGGUUGCAGAAAGCAAGGAAAUAGAACAUUCUUAAAAAUAGUGGGAAUUACUUAUAUAAAAAUAUAUAAACAUCAUUUGACUCAUUAUAUAAAUUAAAUACUAUUUUUAUUUGAUGUUACCAUCAGUAUACUUAAGGAGGUUUAGUUAGUAUCGAUUGUAAAUGGUCAUAUAUUCAACAACUUUCGAUAUCCUAUAUGUGUAUAUAAUAUAAAAUGUGACACUGUUAGUCAUGGUAGUAUUACAUACAAAUUAUACAAAUUACUCAAGUAGGUAUUUUGUAAAAAUGCCACUCCAACACAGAAUAGAUUUCGCACAUCAGUAACAAGAUUCAGUAGCAUAAGAAUUAUUGAAUUAUUUAUCAUAAGUCGAAUUGUAAAAUUUAAAAUAUUACAGUAAUGUGUCACGAAAAUUGUUUCCUGUUUGCUGUUACAAACUGACCCCAGAAGGCGAGCUUUUAGUAUAUUAACAUUUUACGGACUAUUAUCAAGAUUAACUAUAGCUGAUUCUUUAAAUUGUCAAAAAGUGUUUUAUUGUUUACCGUUGUCCUUUUUAAACAAUACGAUGCUGUUCCAUAUAAUUUCUAUCUUAACUCAUUUAUAUAUGUAGAAUUUGCUUUCUUUAGUUAUGCUAUAUUAAUGCAUACCGGUUUCAUAAUAGACCAAAAUAAUCUAGCAUGUAAUUCGACGUGCAAAUCCAAGGCUAGCAAUGGUAGUUAAUUUUUAAGUUGUUUUUGUAAACAAUAUUUUUGCCUAGUUGUGUUGGCUUGUCAAAGGCCGCAUCAC